UUUUGGGGUGAAAGAAGUGGGUUUUGGGGUUUUUCUGCCCGCACAAACCUUGAUGAUGGCGGUGGUGGCGUCGGUCUUCAGGGUGGGCUGGUGCCUCAUCAGCUCGUCCACUGCGCUGCCCAGGUUGGAGGCGGUGUCACCUGGGGGGGGGGCACACAAGGGGGGGACCCCAAAAAUCACAACCGAGUUUUGUGGGGAAUCAGCGGGGGGAGAGGUCCUCCAAGGCUGUGGAUUUGGGUUUUUUUCUUGUGAUUGGUUGGAAUUGUGAGGGAGAGGGACGCCCCCAAAAAGGGUCUGCAAGGGUGGGGGUCCUCCGUAAAGCAGGGGGUAGGGACACCCCCAAAAAUGAGCCCCGAAGUCGUGGGGGCACCCCAGAAUCCAAAGCAUAACUCAAUGGGGCACAAGGGCACCCCAAAAUCCAACCCUAACUCAAUGGGGGACAGGGGCACCCCAAAAUCCAUCCUGGAACUCAGUGGGGGUCAGGGGCACCCCAAAAUCCAACCCUAAAUUAAUGGGGCACAGGGGCACCCCAAAAUCCACCCUGUAACUCAAUGGAGGUCAGGGGCACCCCAAAACCCCAACCCUAACAUAAUGAGAGACAGAGGCACCCCAAAAUCCAUCCUGUAGCUCAGUGGGGGACAGGGACACCCCAAAAUCCCAACCCUAACUUAAUGGGGCACAGGGACACCCCAAAAUCCACCCUGUAACUCAGUGGGAGACAGGAGCACCCCAAAACCCCAACCCUAACUCAAUGGGGGACAGGGGCACCCCAAAAUCCAUGCCAUAGCUCGACAGAGGACACGGAUACCCUGGAUACCUCCUCAGAUUUGGGGACAGGAGGGGGCAGAGACCCCUGGGUUUGGAGACAGAGUUUGGGGAAGGCACCCACAGGAUUUGGGGACAGGAGGGGGCAGAGAUCCCCAGAUUUGGGGACGGGAGGGGGCAGAGACCCCCAGAUUUGGGGACGGGAGGGGGCAGAGAUCCCCAGAUUUGGGGACGGGAGGGGGCAGAGACCCCCGGGUGCGGGGCUGGGGGGCCCAGGGUGCUCACCCAGGGGGUCGGAGCUGCGGCGGCGGCGCAUGGCGGGCAGGUAGUCGGGGGACAGCAGCACCUUGAAGAGGCGCUCGAAGGGCUGGCACUGAACGAAGGACUGCAGGCCGCGGGCGUUGAGGCACAGAGCGCUGAAAACGUUGGGCAGGGAGCCCAGAACCUCCCGGGUGGCUGGGACCUGG
rnacentral:lncRNA from 1 species